UAUACAUUCAGAGACACGAUGAAUAGGCAGUAUCAAGAGCUACCUGACCCAGAAGAAGUCUAGAGAAGUCUAGCUGUGAAAGUAUUCCUCCUUUAAGCACUUGGUGGAUGACAGAGCAGUGAGUUGAAUGGACAUAAAGCAACACCACUGCUGAGAAGGGACGGGUGCUCCUCAGCAGUGCUGCUGCUCCCAGGCCUGUUGAAGGUACUGCUGAACCUUUCCCAGGAACUUGUCUCUGCAUGUUGUGAAGACAAUAUACUCUCUGCUGUUUGGGUUAAUGCUGCAAGGACCAUGGCAAUUGGAAGACACUGCAGAACCAACGACUGGUCAACUUCACAAGGAAAUGGGCAAGUUGCAGCAAUGACUCAAGCUAAGCUGGUGCUGGUGUCCAAAAAUCCUACUCUGCCUGUCCUGAGUGGCCACUUUGGUAGAUGA
rnacentral:lncRNA from 1 species